UGGGGUGUAGCUCAGUUGGUAGAGUGCCGGCCUAGCAUGCACAGAGCUCUGGGUUCAAUUCCUGGCACUGCAU
rnacentral:tRNA from 1 species